rnacentral:rRNA from 1 species
UACGGAGGGUGCGAGCGUUGUCCGGAAUCAUUGGGCGUAAAGGGCGCGUAGGUGGCGCGGUAAGCGUGCGGUGAAAGCCUGGGGCUCAACCCCGGGUCGGCCGUGCGAACUGGGGGGCUGGAGCACUGUAGAGGCAGGCGGAAUUCCGGGUGUAGCGGUGGAAUGCGUAGAGAUCCGGAAGAACACCGGUGGCGAAGGCGGCCUGCUGGGCAGUUGCUGACACUGAGGCGCGACAGCGUGGGGAGCAAACAGG